rnacentral:rRNA from 1 species
UAAGGAAUAUUGGUCAAUGGACGCAAGUCUGAACCAGCCAUGCCGCGUGAAGGAUUAAGGCCCUCUGGGUUGUAAACUUCUUUUAUAGGGGAAGAAAUGUGACGGUUCUCCGUCACUUGACGGUACCCUGGGAAUAAGCACCGGCUAACUUCGUGCCAGCAGCCGCGGUAAUACGGAGGGUGCAAGCGUUAUCCGGAUUCACUGGGUUUAAAGGGUGCGUAGGUGGGCAGAUAAGUCAGUGGUGAAAUCUUCCGGCUUAACCGGGAAACUGCCUUUGAUACUAUUUGGCUUGAAUAUUGCGGAGGUAAGCGGAAUAUGUCAUGUAGCGGUGAAAUGCUUAGAUAUGACAUAGAACACCAAUUGCGAAGGCAGCUUACUACACAAUCAUUGACACUGAGGCACGAAAGCGUUGGUAGCGAACA